rnacentral:rRNA from 1 species
GAUGAACGCUGGCGGCGUGCCUAAUACAUGCAAGUCGAGCGAACAGACGAGGAGCUUGCUCCUCUGACGUUAGCGGCGGACGGGUGAGUAACACGUGGAUAACCUACCUAUAAGACUGGGAUAACUUCGGGAAACCGGAGCUAAUACCGGAUAAUAUAUUGAACCGCAUGGUUCAAUAGUGAAAGACGGUUUUGCUGUCACUUAUAGAUGGAUCCGCGUCGGAUUAGCUAGUUGGUAAGGUAACGGCUUACCAAGGCGACGAUGCGUAGCCGACCUGAGAGGGUGAUCAGCCAAACUGGAACUGGGAAACGGUCCAGACUCCCAAGGGAGGGAGGAGUGGGGAAUUUUUGCCAAUGGGGGGAAGCCUGACCGAGCCAGGCCGGGUGGGGGAAGAAGGGCCUUGGGUUGUAAAACCCUUUUUGUUGGGAAGAAAAAAAGUAGGAGAAAACAUUGCCGUUCUGACGGUACCCAAAGAAGAAGCACCGGCUAACUUCGUG